ACUUGGGGAUAACCUUGCGAAAGUAAGACUAAUACCCAAUGACGUCUCUAGAAGACAUCUGAAAGAGAUUAAAGAUUUAUCGGUGAUGGAUGGGGAUGCGUCUGAUUAGCUUGUUGGCGGGGUAACGGCCCACCAAGGCGACGAUCAGUAGGGGUUCUGAGAGGAAGGUCCCCCACAUUGGAACUGAGACACGGUCCAAACUCCUACGGGAGGCAGCAGUGAGGAAUAUUGGUCAAUGGACGAGAGUCUGAACCAGCCAAGUAGCGUGAAGGAUGACUGCCCUAUGGGUUGUAAACUUCUUUUAUAUGGGAAUAAAGUAUUCCACGUGUGGGAUUUUGUAUGUACCAUAUGAAUAAGGAUCGGCUAACUCCGUG
rnacentral:rRNA from 1 species